UAACACCUGGAAACAGAUGCUAAUACCGGAUAACAACAGAAUGAUGCCUAUCAACUGUUUAAAAGAUGGUUCUGCUAUCACUCUUGGAUGGACCUGCGGUGCAUUAGCUAGUUGGUAGGGUAACGGCCUACCAAGGCGAUGAUGCAUAGCCGAGUUGAGAGACUGAUCGGCCACAUUGGGACUGAGACACGGCCCAAACUCCUACGGGAGGCAGCAGGC
rnacentral:rRNA from 1 species